AGAGUUUGAUCCUGGCUCAGGAUGAACGCUGGCGGCGUGCUUAACACAUGCAAGUCGAACGAUGAAGCCUAGCUUGCUGGGUGGAUUAGUGGCGAACGGGUGAGUAACACGUGAGCAACCUGCCCCUGACUCUGGGAUAAGCGCUGGAAACGGCGUCUAAUACUGGAUAUGUCCCAUCACCGCAUGGUGUGUGGGUGGAAAGAUUUUUCGGUUGGGGAUGGGCUCGCGGCCUAUCAGCUUGUUGGUGAGGUAAUGGCUCACCAAGGCGUCGACGGGUAGCCGGCCUGAGAGGGUGACCGGCCACACUGGGACUGAGACACGGCCCAGACUCCUACGGGAGGCAGCAGUGGGGAAUAUUGCACAAUGGGCGGAAGCCUGAUGCAGCAACGCCGCGUGAGGGAUGACGGCCUUCGGGUUGUAAACCUCUUUUAGCAGGGAAGAAGCGAGAGUGACGGUACCUGCAGAAAAAGCACCGGCUAACUACGUGCCAGCAGCCGCGGUAAU
rnacentral:rRNA from 1 species